CUAAGCGUACACGGUGGAUGCCCUGGCAGUCAGAGGCGAUGAAGGACGUGCUAAUCUGCGAAAAGCGCCGGCGAGGUGAUAUGAACCUUUGACCCGGCGAUGUCCGAAUGGGGAAACCCAGUGUGUUUCGACACACUAUCGUUAACUGAAUACAUAGGUUAACGAGGCGAACCGGGGGAACUGAAACAUCUAAGUACCCCGAGGAAAAGAAAUCA
rnacentral:rRNA from 1 species